ACCCGGUUAGCUCAGUUUGGUAGAGCGUGUGACUUUUAAUCACAAGGCCACGAGAUCGAGACUCGUACUGGGUG